CCUAAACAUCCAUGUGACUUUGUAAAAAUUUGACGUUUUGCGAAAUUCUAUCCGAAAUUUUACUUAAUUUUGUCCUAUAAUAAAAAUUGUUUUCAGAUAUUCAGCUUAUCCUAAAAUUAUAACGAAUUAUUAGUGUGCCAAUUAUUUACAUGGAGUAAAUGCGCUUUGCCUUACUAAAUGAAGCCAUCAAAUAAAAGCCAUGGCGAUAUUAUGCAAGAAGAGAGCUUACACGCGCUUAAUAACAGAUAGCGUCUUUAAAGCUACAGCAGUUUGUAAUAUAUAUUUUACAUUGUGACGUCGCAUAUGCAUUCCGUAAUCGAAUACAUACCUGUACCAUUGCCACAGUCACCCCAGUUAUUCCCUGCGAUAUAUCGCCACUGGAAGACGCAUUGGGCGCAGGUCAAAUCCUCUGCAGGUGUUGGUCCAGGCAUUCCUGGGUGACUUCUCGGUCACGAUAGGUCAUGGCGCAGGUGCGGAACUCGAAGUAACCGUGAUGGUUCGCCGUCAGCUCCACGCGGACAGGUAUGACCGAUCCGGUCCGAUAACGCCGGACAAUCACGCCGUUCCCAUACUUGCCGCCCGUCUCGUGAACACGUGGCUAAAAAAAAAAAGCAUAAAAUGGAAACUAGAAUAUUUGCUGCACGUAUUUUCUUUUCACGUUAUAUUCACUAUAUUCAUUAUAUUUAUUACAUUAUGUAUUUCUUAUGUAUUAUACUGUUAGAAUAUUUCUCUUUCGGGGCAUCAUUUAUAUGUAACCAGGAAGAGAAUAACAUGAAUAUUGAGAGAGAAAGAGGAAAACAGAUUUCACUUCUGUUUCGGGCUACUUUCGUCCGUAUCCGAUAUCAAGUGUACGUAUCAAGGCCAAGCAUCCCGCAUAAAACGUCCCGCAACGAAAUGCGAACGGCAGAUUACAGGGACACGAGACUGGCUCACGGAAGUAAUGAAAGAUGAACAACCACAUAUGGAAAUAACCGAGCGGAGGUUUGAUGACCUCUCUCAACGCGCGCCACUAUCGAGCGUUUCGCUCGAAAAGUAACGGAGGAUAACGCACACGCGAAUUACAACGACAACGAUUAGCGGCACGAAAGUCGGCGCAGCGUACCUUAGAGAUCACAAGAAUGAGAAUUAAUCAAGGUCAAAAGUGGAGUUUCCACAUUUUCCGUCCGUAAUACGAACGCCGUGGAGUAUUUUUUACGCUGGACGUAAGCAUGAACUUCAUUACUUAAUCGAUAUCGCCGUCUGCACGCCCGACCAAUACUAAAAGGAGUCACGAAACUGCAUAAAGUUGGCGUUUAAAUGUCGACAUUCGAAAGCUACGCGAAAGAGAAAGAGAGAUACAAUGACGAAGGGAACCACUGAACCGGUUAUUACACCGACACUCCACGCGCAUGAUAUCCCAGAUAUCGUGAGAUAAAUUCGUCAAGGUAAAAACCUAGAAAACGUAUAAAUAUGUUUAAUCGAGAUAAGGAUACGAAUAGUUGUAGGUUGAAAAAAAAGAAAAUUAAUUAUGAUCCUUUGCUACAUUCUCCCGCAAGGACUCUCAUCUUAGAUUUAAAUAGUUCGCUUUUAAUCAUUUAUGUAUGUUGAUAUAAUUCCUCUUUACUCCAUCACGGAAACAUUCGCGAAUAUUUCAAGAUAGAAACGUAAAUGUAUACCUAAAAAAUGUAAUAUUCAAUAUUAAAAAAGAUGUGGCGAAUGUGGGCGGCCUUCCGUGACAUCCUUGACGUGAAAAUUUUUUAUCUUGGAUUUAAAUAACGAAUCCGGUUUUAAUUCUCGUGAAAAUAUUAAUAAUAAGAUAAAGUAAAGAUAAAAUAGAAUUGAAUUUCUUGUUCAAAUUUUAAAUGUGUCUUCAAAUCUGGAAACUAGUCGCUAGUUAUAAAAUUGCUUUCCUUGCUUUCUUCAUAAAAUCAGACAUUUAUUAUUGUGUGUAAACAAUCAAGCAUUGUGAGAUAAUGAAAGUAAAUAAUAAAGCAUAUGUGAAUCUGUGAACAAAGAGAGAAGUGCAGAGAAAAUUCAGCAACUCUAUAAUUUUUAAUGAUUUAAUGCAUCUUUCACCAAUAUGUAUGUCAAUAAAAAAAUUCUAAAGUUA